ensembl:lncRNA
AGAGGGUUUGAUUUUUAAGUCCCCGGCGUAGAGCAGCUUCAGAGAAUAUUGUCUCUGUAUUCCAGGAGAAAACCAAUUAAGCCAACCACAUAAUGAGCAAUGAUGUUCUCUCACAUCUGCCAGCCAAACCAAUCACCUUAAUUUGUUGUAGAUGGCUAUGCUUCUCUUCAGUAUUCUAUAUGGAUGCCUUCAAACAAAAAUCCUGUGUGCAUUGCAUACACUUGGUGAUAUAUUUGUGAAGUAGCAGUUCUCAGAACUAAAGCUCUUUGUAAAUCAAAGAGCUGUUAACUGCCCACACUUUAGAUCUUAGGUCAAGCAGGAAAAAGAGCAUUUUUAAUAUUCUGCAGGUUCUAUUUUUCUGGAUAUUGAUUAUCACUUUGCAUUCCCCAAAUUAUCUUUCAGUCAGUCUAAGCAAAUGCCAUAAUUAAUAGAAAAUCUAAAUUGAGACAUUGUUACUCACUGAGUUCUUUAUUUUUUAAACGUUAAUAUUUUUGUCUGAAAUAAGAAUGAAAGCAUCAGUGCUUUGUCAACUGCUUUCAUGUAAUCCAACCACUUAUUUAUAAAAGCUUGGGGUUAUUUUCACUCAAAUAUUUGGAAUUAUUUAUGGAACAAAUUGCCAUCUUUGAGUGAUUUUUUUAUAGCUUUGGAGGGAGGCAUGAGAACUGUAUUAAUAUCCCAAAGCAUGAUUCACACGGAAGAAUCAUUAUUAUUCCAUCUCUAGGAACCAAAAAUAUAUAAAUAAGUCAGGGAUAUUUAUAAUUAAUGUUUUAAUUCCCUAGGACCAGAUGGAAAAAUGAGAAAUGAAGUAUAUAACAUUCAGCCUUAAAGAAUUUUACCCAUUAAUACUUUUGUUCCCUAGGGCUCCCUAGAAUCCGAAGCAAAUAGUUUUCCAACAACCCUAAUAAGGCAAAUAAGGGCAAAUUAAAAUUAACAAUUUUUUAUUUAUACUUUCAACAAAUAUUUCAUGAGUGCUUUCUGUAUUCUCAGCACAAUUCUAAAAUAACAGAUAAAUGUGCAAUGCAACGAAUAGGUUUUUGUAGCAAUUCUUUCACUUGUUGAAUGAUUUUAGUUCAAUUCCUUAAUCUAAGUCUCAGUUUACAGGGCAAACUGAAUAGUUUUCGAAAGAAUAUUGUGGUGUGUGUGUGUGUAUGUGUGCGCAGAGAGAGAGAGAUAGAGCCCCAAAUGUAACAGGUAUAUAAAUUCAUAGUCAGUCAGUCAUGGUAAAGAUAUAUGUGCAUCUUGGACCUGAUUCUAUUACAGACUUUAAUUUAUGUUUCUACUCAUCUGAUACAUUGUAUCAAAUUGGAUUUAACAGCAUUGCUCAUGUAUCUACCUCCAUCACAUUCUGAUAGGAUGGAAAUACUACUUUUAAAGAUACUAUUAUUAAUUCAUGAUUUAUUAAGGUUAUAUUCAUAUUUAAACAUUAAUAUCAGUUAAUAUCUUUAUAUGUCCUGUGCCCUACAUAUGUAUCACAUUAUAAUAUCACCCAUCCAAACAUUAAAGGGCAUUUGAUUUACUAAAAUAGUUAUUAGUAUUUAUAUUUCAGACUUGUUAACUAUAUUGGCACAUUCAGUUACACAAAACAUAACACACAUGCUCCGUUAGGACAACACUUCUUCCUGCCAUAGUAAUUCUAUGCAAUUCAAAGUAUCAAGUAAGUUCAAGUGAAUGAAAUGAUUGUUGCUGUGGGAUAUUUCAGUGGACUGGGAAGUGUCUCAAUAGUUGCCAAUCAAACAAAAGCUGAGAGCAUUAAAUGCUUAUAAAAUUCUGAGUAGCUACUUUGAUGAAGAAAACUUUGUAACUUUGAGAAAAAUAUCCAACAUUAAAUAAUGUUUAAUAGUAUCCCAGACCCUCCAUGAAGGUAAUCUCAUUCUUUUUCCAAACACUUGCACAAAAUAAAUAAAUUUAUAAGAAAAAAAAUGGACCAAAUCUUUAAAUAUUGCUAUUACUAUUCUCAUGAGCUACAUCUCAAUGCCUAAAUUGUUCUGGGAAAGUACUUUGCAUGCAAUACCUCACUCAUUAGUGAAAAUGGUACGUUGAGGAUGUGCUAGAUUUUGAGAGAGUUCUAAAAUCAACGGAUAAGCAAGGAGAUCCUGCUGUAUAGCACUGGGAACUAUAUCUCAUCACUUAUGAUGCAGGAGAAUGUGAGAAAAAGAAUGUAUAUAUGUAUGUGUGACUGGGUCACUUUGCCGUACAGUAGAAAAUUGACAAGAUUGUAGAUGAGUUAUUAUGGGGAAAAUAAAAAUCAUUUUUAAAAAAUAAAAAAAUAAAAUCAAUGGAAUAUUAAAUAACAUUCUAUACAUAAUAAAAGUCCAUUGCAGAGAGCUUGGAAACAUUUUUCACGUGAGUGUAUACAAUUAAUAUACUUCUUUCUUAUUCAUCUAUAACAUUUUCAGGAGCUUCCUAAUGUUUCAAAAAAUAUCAUGAUGGAAUGCAUCGGUUGUUUUCAUUUCUUUACUAUUUCAGAUAAUGCUGCAGUAAGCAUCGUAAGUCUAGGCCUCUUUGCACACACCAUCUAUAUUUUCCUGAGAAAAUAGUUCUAAAAGAGUAAUUGCAGGGCCAGAUGCACUGGAUUCAUCACCACAGCAUACAUUCUGCUUUACACAGCUUGGUUUUCAAGUCUUAGCUAAUAUCCUCGUAAUCCCAUUGUUUUUAGGGGACACAUCCUCGAUUCUCCCGGAGAUGGAGAUUCUUUCUACAUUUAUUGGCUAUCUGUAGUUUUUGUUCCUUACUUUUUCUGUGUGUGUGCCUUUUUUAAGGCCACGUCCACAGCAUAUGGAGGUUCCCAGGCUAGGGGUCUAAUUGGAGCUGUAGCUGCCAGCCUGCACCACAGCCACAGCCACAGCAAUGUGGGAUCUGAGCCGCUUCUAUGGGCUACACCAUAGCUCAUGGCAACGCCAUUUCCCCGACCCACUGAGCAAGGCCAGGGAUCGAACCCAUAUCCUCGUGGAUACUAGUUGGAUUCAUUUCUGCAGAGCCACAAGGGAAACCCCUAUAGUCCUUUUUCUAUGAAUGAACGAAAACUUUUCAACUUUUCUUGGUGUUUUAUGUAUUAAUCAAUUUGGCAGGCCACCUUCAUAAAUGAAUACUAGCAAUACUUCAUUAUAGUCAUUUCACCUGUGUUCUCCAGUAAAUAAUGUGUGACCACAUGUUACAUUUUCAGAAGAAAGAGUGAGCAGCAGUAUUUGAAAUUAUCUUCACCAUAUUUGAGAUGUUCGCUAAAAUCUUUCUAGAACAUCAUCUAAAUUUUGAGAAGAGCACUCCAUAUUACAUAUUCUGUUAAUAUUUACUAUAGCUGUGUUAUUGCCUAACAUACAUCAUUUUAAUAUGCUAUGUGCAUAUACUUUCAACACUGAAACCUGUUAUAAUAUUGACAUAAAAUAUUUUUGUAACAUAAUAACUCAGAGAUGGCAUUUUACGCCGUUAAGAAAUGUUUGCAUAUGACAGUUGCCUCUGUCAUGUUGCAGGUUUCAUUGCUUUUCCUUAUCAGUAUAACUAACGAAUGAAGUUCUACUACAGAAUUCUCAUGAGCGGGACAAUUCGUUAACAGUUGGAUGAUGGUCAUUUUCGGUCUCACCCUUCAUGGCUUGGGGACCGUCUAGGAUGUGGUGCUUGGGAGCUAAAGCAGCGGCAGUGUGGAGGAAUGGAAAGAGAAGGGGACUGCGAACAAGGUUCUUCAUGCGGGGGAAGGAAGGAAGGAAGGAAACAGACCAGGAGGAGGAGAGGCAGAGGCAGGGAAACUGGCCAGAGCGUAAGAUCUGGGAAGACAGGGAACCAGACGACUGUAAGGGGGAGGAUGAGCAGCAGCAGCACACGCAGCACGGAGAGCAGCAGAGGCGGAGCCUAACGAGAAUGCUCUGGAUGGGCAAUGAUGCGGUUCCUACGCCACGUGGGAGGAUGGCCCAGGGACGGAAGAAGCUAAACGCACAGGAGGGGUCAUGCUUCUUGGAGCAGCUUCCCAAAGAGGAGGUGAUUUGGGGCCAAGGAGAUAAGGGGCCUAGGAGGUGAUAUGGGGGAGGGUAGGUGAUUCUAGACUGCGGGCAUGAGAAAGGGGUAGCAAUGGCUUGAGUUACAUGUCGUGGGCCUGAGAAGUUGAAGGCGCUCACAGAGAGUGGCUUGACUUUCUUGAUGAGUGGGUUGGGGGAAGCAGCAGAUGUCUCCUGUCCAUCCCUUAUGAACUGCCUUUAUUUCACGGGUCCUCAGGGUUUCACUCAGUGUUCUUCCUGCUUUUUCCAUGUUCUCUGAUGUCUAUUUGCAUAAAGUAUUCAAGAACUCUCACAUAAGGACAGCAGCAGAAAAGCUCAAAAGUGUUAAAUCAUGGAGUUCCUGUCAUGGCGCAGUGGUUAAUGAAUCUGACUAGGAACCAUGAGGUUGCAGGUUUGAUCCCUGGCCUUGCUCAGUGGGUUAUCAAUCCAGCGUUGCCAUGAGCUGUGGUGUAGGUUGCAGACGCGGCUCGUAUCUCACGUUGCUGUGGCUCUGGUGUAGGCCAGCAGCUAUGGCUCCGAUUAGACCCCUAGCCUGGGAACUCCAUAUGCCAUGGAAGUGGCCCUAGAAAAGGCAAAAAGACCAAAAAAAAAAAAAAAAAAA